UAAGAGGUCCCGCCUGCCCAGUGACCAUGUGUUCAACGGCCGCGGUAUUUUAACCGUGCAAAGGUAGCGCAAUCACUUGUCUCUUAAAUAGAGACCUGUAUGAAUGGCACAACGAGGGCUCACCUGUCUCCUCCUCCCAGUCAAUGAAAUUGAUCUUCCCGUGCAGAAGCGGGAACACCCCCAUAAGACGAGAAGACCCCAUGGAACUUUAGACACUAGACAACGCACUUUUCAUUCCCUCCUUUCUCGAGCGACCACGUGCCGCCCUGUCUCCUUGUCUUUGGUUGGGGUGACCCCGGAGAAUAAUGAAACCUCCCCAAGAAACAAGAGCACCACUCUCACAACUAAGGCCAACAACCCCAAGUACCAGAACCUCUGAUCAACUGAUCCAGCUCUCGCCGAUUAAUGAACCAAGCUACCCUGGGGAUAACAGCGCAAUCCUCUCCUAGAGCCCAUAUCGACGAGCGGGUUUACGACCUCGAUGUUGGAUCAGGACAUCCUAAUGGUGUAACCGCUAUUAAGGGUUCGUUUGUUCAACG
rnacentral:rRNA from 1 species